rnacentral:ncRNA from 1 species
GGUUGAGAGGGCUGCGUUAUCGCGGUUCGCUGGGACGGUCAGUCCCACUCAGCUG